GGGCUGGCCGCUUAUAAUGCUGUCGAGCGGAGAGAAGGGAGCUUGCUCCCGGAUGUUAACGGCGGACGGGUGAGUAACACGUGGGUAACCUGCCUGUGGGACUGGGAUAACUCCGGGAAACCGGAGCUAAUACCGGAUAGUUCCUUGAACCGCAUGGUUCAAGGAUGAAAGACGGUUUCGGCUGUCACUUACAGAUGGACCCGCGGCGCAUUAACUAGUUGGUGGGGUAAUGGCUCACCAAGGCGACGAUGCGUAUCCGACCUGAGAGGGUGAUCGGCCCCCCUGGGACUGAGACACGGCCCAAACUCCUACGGGAGGCAGCAGUAGGGAAUCUUCCGCAAUGGACGAAAGUCUGACGGAGCAACCCCGCGUGAGUGAUGAAGGUUUUCGGAUCGUAAAGCUCUGUUGUUAGGGAAGAACAAGUGCGAGAGUAACUGCUCGCACCUUGACGGUACCUAACCAGAAAGCCACGGCUAACUACGUGCCAGCAGCCGCGGUAAUACGUAGGUGGCAAGCGUUGUCCGGAAUUAUUGGGCGUAAAGGGCUCGCAGGCGGUUUCUUAAGUCUGAUGUGAAAGCCCCCGGCUCAACCGGGGAGGGUCAUUGGAAACUGGGAAACUUGAGUGCAGAAAAGAGAGUGGAAUUCCACGUGUAGCGGUGAAAUGCGUAGAGAUGUGGAGGAACACCAGUGGCGAAGGCGACUCUCUGGUCUGUAACUGACGCUGAAGGAGCGAAAGCGUGGGGAGCGAACAGGAAUUAAAUACCCUGGGUAGUCCCCCGCCGUAAACAAAUGAAUGCUAAGUGUUAGGGGGUUUCCGCCCCCUUAAUGCUGCAACUAACGCAUUUAAAC
rnacentral:rRNA from 1 species